UACAGAGGGGGUAAGCGUUGUUGGGAAUUACUGGGCGUAAAGGGCGCGUAGGCGGCCGCCUAAGUCAGACGUGAAAUCCCUCGGCUCAACCGGGGAACUGCGUCUGAUACUGGGUGGCUUGAAUUCGGGAGAGGGAUGCGGAAUUCCAGGUGUAGCGGUGAAAUGCGUAGAUAUCUGGAGGAACACCGGUGGCGAAGGCGGCAUCCUGGACCGAGAUUGACGCUGAGGCGCGAAAGCCAGGGGAGCAAACGGG
rnacentral:rRNA from 1 species